CCUACGGGAGGCAGCAGUGGGGAAUAUUGGACAAUGGACGAAAGUCUGAUCCAGCAAUGCCGCGUGAAUGAUGAAGGCCUUAGGGUUGUAAAGUUCUUUAAGUAGGGAAGCGGUACCUACAGAAUAAGCACCGGCUAACUCCGUGCCAGCAGCCGCGGUAAUACGGAGGGUGCAAGCGUUGUUCGGAAUUACUGGGCGUAAAGCGCGCGUAGGCGGCUUGAUAAGUUGGAAGUGAAAUCCCGGGGCUUAACUCCGGAAUUGCUUUCAAAACUAUCAAGCUAGAGUAUGAUAGGGGACAGUGGAAUUCCUAGUGUAGAGGUGAAAUUCGUAGAUAUUAGGAGGAACACCGGUGGCGAAAGCGACUGUCUGGAUCAUACUGACGCUGAGGCGCGAAAGCGUGGGGAGCAAACAGGAUUAGAUACCCUUGUAGUC
rnacentral:rRNA from 1 species